GCCAGGGAGCAGCGCACUCUCAGAUCACUCAAUUACCACCCUCCUCCUCUCGGAAGAUGAGGAGGUACUAUAGAAAGGCAGAGGCAUUUCCGCUGAGGUACCAGACAUGUGAGUAAAGCCAUUUUGGAUUUCCAGGCCUAGAAAGCCUCCAGAUGAUGGCAAAUGCAAGAAUAACCCCAGACAAGACCUGCAGAAGAACCACCCACCUAAGCUCAAUCCAUAAAUGGUUGUUAUUAUUUAAAUCCA